AUGAAGUCAUCCCUAUACCUAGUGUGCACAUCAGCUUGUUCCAUCGGCGCAGCACGCUGGGAUUCCUCGGGAAGGAGCGAAGGGAACAAUGAUGACCAUAUUUUCCAUUUAUAUGCCCCUCCUCAACUCCGCAGGAAUCGCUGGGCGCAGCCGCGGCGGGGUCGGGCGGUUGGGCUGACCGGGAUGCCCCCCGAUUCCCUCGUCCCAGUCCUGAGACCGCAACAGGGCGGGCUGAGCACUCGCCCCGCGCGAGGCACUCGGCCGCGAGCCGACCCGGAGUAUCCUGGCCCGGCCCUGUACCCAGUCAGUCACGCGUCCCAGCUCCCCACGCCGGUGCCUGCGGGUCCGGCGCCCAGGAGGUCUCGGCGCCUAGGUCUCCGCACCGCGGCCGUGGGGGAGGCCCCGGAGUUCCCCAAGCCUCUGGGGAGCGGGAGGCGACGGGGAGGGGGCCGACAGUCAAGGACAACCCCGGGCAAGGAACCCCCGGCGAGGAACCCCGGCCGACAGCGGACGGGACGUUUUGGGUGGGGGUGGGGGGGCCGGCCCGAAUCCCAGGGGGUUGCAGGGGGCGGGGUAGGGAGGCAACAAAGAGCCUCUCUUCGUCGUCGCCGCCGCCGCCGCGCUCGCUCCCGCCCAGUCAGCUCUCCGCAGUCCGGCGGGGGCCCAGCCGCCGGCGCGGGGGAGCGCGCCCGGCCCCCGCCUCCCCUUUCCUCCCCUCUCCUCCCUCCCCGCACCGCCCCCUCGCCCCCGGGGGGAAGGUGGCGAGAGGGCGGCGCCUGCGUGUUCCUCCGCCGCGCGCCCCGCCUCCUCCCCGGGCUCCUCGCGGCGAUCCCGACUCUCCUCCCGCGGCUGCAGCAGCUGCCGGUUGCACACGGCCUCGGCGGCGGCGCGGCGGGCGCGGGCCUGUGGAGCGGCGGCCGGGCGCGCGGCCCUGGCGGGCACCCCUCCGAGGGCGGCCGAGGAAGCUCCGGGAGGAGGAGCAGGACCACGAGGAGGUGGGAGGCGGCGGCCGCCUGGGGACCCGCUCCGCGCCUCGUCCUCUCCGCCCCCUCCCCAGCCUUUCUCUCACCCUCUUCUCCCACACUCCGGGCCGGCGCCUCGGCUUUGUGCGAGGAGAUGGUGUAG
rnacentral:lncRNA from 1 species